UCUGUCUGUCUGUCUGUCUGUCUGUGUGUCUGUCUGUGUGUCUGUCUGUACCUGUUUAGGUAAGAAGCAGGAUGUAUGGUUCGUGGUGGACCCCCAGACAGGAGAGAAACAGACCAGCCUCUCCACAUCAUCAUCUGACUCCAUUUGCCCCAAUGCACCACUGCUGUACAUAGGAAGAACAGAGUACAUGAUAACGAUGUAUGAUACGAAGACACAGGAGCUGAGGUGGAACGCAACAUACAACGACUACUCUGCCCCGCCGUACGAUGAGAAACAUGGCUACAAGAUGGCCCAUCUCGUCUCCAGUGG